rfam:Clostridium grantii DSM 8605 genome assembly, contig: EJ34DRAFT_scaffold00003.3
AAUUCCAUUAGAAUUAGUGGUGCAGUAUUCUAGUCAGGUAAGUGUUUUUUGAGGGCGGGGCUAAAAAUCCGUCAAAGGGCACAUCGAUGAAGCUUCUGGUGCUGGCUUACUACGCCCAGUGGUGGGUUGGUGCUGGGAGUAAGGGGGCUGGGGCAACCGCAAAGGCAUGCGCAUCUGACCCUACCCCCGGGAGACCAUUUCUUGUGGUUUAGGAGAGAUACCUAUUCUACGACAAUGGAUUAAACCUGCAAUGUGGUGAAAAGCUAUGUGCAGUGUAGCCUGCCUUGAGUGAGGUUGGUGGAGGUGAACUUUUUGGUUCAAGGAAACCUAUUUUGCAAAAGAGGCUAGGGAGACACCUAACUGCUGAGGAAAACUCCUAGACUGUUUUAUAAAAGGUAUGCUAAAGAUUGCAGUGUGGACUAAGUGGUAAUCCAGUCCUAUAGUUUGGUAACGCUAUAGGUAGAAUAUUAAAAGGAAACUGCUAUGCUGGCGACAGGUAGUUGUUCUACGGGAAAUCCUACUGGACCUAAGCCAUAAGAUUUAUUUAGCAUACUACCACUUAUUAUUAAUGGAGG